CCGACACCUGAGGACAGGGGGAACCGUACAGUACACGCAGGAAUACUUCUCCACGACUCGUAGCUCGUAGUACUAGCGUCUGACGUUCUUGCUGCUAGUGGGUUUUUAGAUCACGCCUCAUAAUUUCUGACUCCCCGUCGCCAAAGGAACGUCUCAUCUGUCUGUCUCUUCUCAUCAGCAGCCCAAAGCGGCGGUAAUAAAUCCGCUAAUCCCUCGAGGCGCGAACCAGGAGGAAAAUAGCUUGAAUAUUUUAUCCUCAGCGCAGACGGGGAAUGUGAAGCAGUAACAAAGCGUUUGGAUAGUUGAAAAAAAUCGUGGAAGUUUCAAUGAAUUUACAGUGCAGGCCAGAAUUAUUGGCACCCUUCAUAACGCGAACAAACGUUACACACCAAGUUAUUUAACUUUGUUCAAAUAUCAUUAGAACUAUUCAUUCAUUCAUUCAUUCAUUCUUUUUUUUUUUUUUUUUUUUUUUUAUUUUAAGGCAAAAUACAUGUGCUAAAGUUAUUGACAUCAUUAAGAAAUAUUUCUUGGAAGAACUUAUAUUGUCCUUUGCUCCCAGGAACCAGUUUUUAUCUUUUGUUCCAUCUAAAACAACUACUUUUUUUUUUUUUUUUUUUUAAUGAAAUUAUGUUCUCCUUCAAAAUGUACAAUUUGACAUGCUUUACGGAAUAUUUCAAAUGAUCAAUUCAUUUCUGUUACUUCCCGUAAUUUUUUUUUAUCAUUUGCUUUUUAACAUGCCCUGUUUCCCUGAGGUAUAAAUUAAAGGUUGCACACCUUUUUUAAUAAAUAAAUAAAUCCUUUAUACUCCCCUCAUGGUAAGUGUGUGUAUAAAUAUAAAUGAUAAAGGUGCUGAUAGAUUUGAAAACAGCAAAACCAAAAAUUGUAUUAAUCUCGUAAUGUCCGUGUACGUUGCAUGUGUUAAACCUUUUUAUACAUUUGUUUUUGCUCAUUUUCUGAAGGGGUGCCGAUAUUUCUGGAGGGCGCUGUAACGGCAUUAGGGUGUUGUCUGAUUAUUUCCACACCUCCAUGCCAUCAGGAGGAUCCCUAAGCUUGACGAGAGGGUUAAUAUCAGGGAUUUUCUAAUUGCUGUAAUUGCGAUGUGAUAAAAUAUCUCUGUCUGGAUCGGAGGGACGUCUGUGGCUAACGGUUGGUUGGGGGGGGGGGGGGUUUGCUAGGAGACACAUUCGCGUCCUCUCAUUGUGUGCACAUGUGCAAUUUUCGGGCGCUUUGCAGAGCAUCGAUCGCGAGGAAGUGAACGUGUUGAUCAGCAGUAAUUACAGUAAUCUCCCGCCGAGCGGCAGGCGCACAGAAAACAGAGCUUGUCAUUAAGAUGUCUGUCUCUCUUUCUUCCUCUGCCUCGUUCUGAUGGCUCGGUCUGUCCGAAUCUAAAUUUGAUCGCACACCUGUAGCUAAACACGGGGGAGCGGACAAUCAUGCUUGUUGUUAUUCGUGUGAUGAAUGAGCUAGUUGGAAUAACAUCCUGUGGUAAAUUUAACUGUUCAAACUUGGCUAGUUAGACUAGCUUUAUCUAGUUUGGAGAAUAUCCUGUAGGAGCUUAAGUUGGCCUGAAUGACCUCCAUAACCACCUGUGGUAAAUUUAGCCAGCUAGCGCAACCUUUGCUAGCUUGAAUAACGUUUGUGUGCUGAAAUGUAGCUAGCUACAGUAACUUUCUAUGGUAAACCUGGAUUGUCGGGUACCUUUUAGCUUCAGUAUGAAGAACGUCCAUAAACUCCCGUCAUAAAUUUAUCUAGUUGAACAUUUAGCUACAGACACGAUUUUCCUACAGGAGCCGCAGGAGAUUUUCAAAUUAGCUGAAGUUUGAACACUACACCGUGCCAAGUCGAGCUCAUUUAUAUAAUAUCCUGUGGUACAUUUUAUAUAGGUGAAAUAUCUUGUAUGUUUAGGCACCGAUAAUGUCGUGUUAACCAUAGCUAGUUAGAGGAGACACCAGUGGUAGGUUUAGCUAGUUUGAAUAUAUCCUGUGGCAAGUUUGAAUCAUAUUUAUUUAACAACACUGUGUGGUAAAUUUAGCUAGCUAGACGCAAGAAUUCGCAUUUAGCUAGAUAGGUCAUCAUCCUGUGGUAACUUGAGCAAGGAAAUAACCUUAAGUGAUCAUUUCUGGUAGCUAGACCCUCUUGUGGUAGCUUUGGCUAGCUAGUCACGACAUGCUAUGUUAACUUGAGAUUUAAUAUCCAUAACCGGCUUUGGUAAAUUUAGCUAGCCAGACAUAACGUUAUGCGGUAACGUUAGCUAGUUGUAGUAGCACUCUGUGGCGAUGUUAGCUAGAUAAACAUCCUGUUGUCACUUUAGUUAAAAUAAUUUUCUGUGGUAAACUUUGAGUUUGGUUAGCGUCCUGUGGUACAUUUACUUGUUUUGAGUCUCACUGUGUAGUAAUUAUAACUAGUUAGAAUAAUAUUCUGUGGGUUCUGUUGAAUAACAUCCAGAUCCUCAUGUGGUAACUUUAGCUAGCUAUAAAGAACUUUCUUUUGGUAUGUUAGUUACCCGUGUUAACAUUAUCAGUGAUUGUAACUUGAUUGUUCUGUAAAGAAAAGCCUGCAGCUCCUCUUUUUCUCAUAAAAUACCAUUUAUUCUCGCAAAUGUAUUGCCUGAGGUUUUCCUCAGGUGUGUACGUUUCCUUUUUCCAUGUUCUAGGUAUGAAAUAUCUUCACAGAUUUUUAUUUUUUGGCUUUAGUAUAUGUAAAGUAAAAAGGCCUGCUAUCCUAAUGCGAGUGAUGCACUGAAGUGGUGCUAUGUAUGUUGUACCUAUUUGGAGGAUGAAAAAUAUGCAACAUGUUCUCUAUAUUAUUUUUCUAUAUACUGUGUAUAUAUAAUAUAUUUAUGACUGGCCAUCCAACAUGCCCGAGUACAAGUUAUAGGAAAAAACCUGCAACAGAGGUGACGCGGAUCUGCGGAUUCCUGAAGCGUGUUAAUCUCCCUCCAGUCAGCUAAGGCGAUGCACUGCAUGUACACACCUAACACGCAGCAUUCAUGGAAAACACCUGAUAGCGACUACCGAUAUGACACUACAGCAGCACAGGUACGGGAACCUCCAGACGUUGGCGAGGUCCACUGCGAAGCCGAUGACCGACAGCAGGAAGUCAAUUUUCUUGGCCCAGGUUUCUCGCUCCUCUCCAGACGGGUGAGUCUGGCCGGUCGGUGCAACG